UCUGGUUGAUUCUGCCAGUAGUCAUAUGCUUGUCUCAAAGAUUAAGCCAUGCAUGUCUAAGUAUAAGCACUUUAUACUGUGAAACUGCGAAUGGCUCAUUAAAUCAGUUAUCGUUUAUUUGAUAGUACCUUACUACAUGGAUACCUGUGGUAAUUCUAGAGCUAAUACAUGCUAAAAACCUCGACUUCGGAAGGGGUGUAUUUAUUAGAUAAAAAACCAAUGCCCUUCGGGGCUCCUUGGUGAUUCAUAAUAACUUAACGAAUCGCAUGGCCUUGCGCCGGCGAUGGUUCAUUCAAAUUUCUGCCCUAUCAACUUUCGAUGGUAGGAUAGUGGCCUACCAUGGUGGCAACGGGUAACGGGGAAUUAGGGUUCGAUUCCGGAGAGGGAGCCUGAGAAACGGCUACCACAUCCAAGGAAGGCAGCAGGCGCGCAAAUUACCCAAUCCCGACACGGGGAGGUAGUGACAAUAAAUACUGAUACGGGGCUCUUUUGGGUCUCGUAAUUGGAAUGAGUACAAUCUAAAUCCCUUAACGAGGAACAAUUGGAGGGCAAGUCUGGUGCCAGCAGCCGCGGUAAUUCCAGCUCCAAUAGCGUAUAUUAAAGUUGUUGCAGUUAAAAAGCUCGUAGUUGAACCUUGGGUCUGGCUGGCCGGUCCGCCUCACCGCGAGUACUGGUCCGGCUGGACCUUUCCUUCUGGGGAACCUCAUGGCCUUCACUGGCUGUGGGGGGAACCAGGACUUUUACUGUGAAAAAAUUAGAGUGUUCAAAGCAGGCCUUUGCUCGAAUACAUUAGCAUGGAAUAAUAGAAUAGGACGUGCGGUUCUAUUUUGUUGGUUUCUAGGACCGCCGUAAUGAUUAAUAGGGAUAGUUCAGAAGUUAACCACGGCAUACCACCCACAAGGAAAUAGUCAGACGGAAAGAACAAACCAAACAAUUGAACAAUAUUUG
rnacentral:rRNA from 1 species